AUUGAACGCUGGCGGCAUGCCUUACACAUGCAAGUCGAACGGGGUUAAGGGGCUUGCUCCUUGAUCUAGUGGCGAACGGGUGAGUAAUGUAUCGGAACGUACCAUUCAGUGGGGGAUAACGUAGCGAAAGUUACGCUAAUACCGCAUAUUCUCUGAGGAGGAAAGUAGGGGAUCGCAAGACCUUAUGCUGAUUGAGCGGCCGAUAUCGGAUUAGCUAGUUGGUGAGGUAAAGGCUCACCAAGGCGACGAUCCGUAGCUGGUCUGAGAGGAGGAUCAGCCACACUGGGACUGAGACCCGGCCCAGACUCCUACGGGAGGCAGCAGUGGGGAAUUUUGGAAAAUGGGGGCAACCCUGAUCCAGCCAUGCCGCGUGAGUGAAGAAGGCCUUCGGGUUGUAAAGCUCUUUCGCGAGGGAAGAAAACGUGCAGGUUAAUACCCUGUAUGGAUGACGGUACCUUGAUAAGAAGCACCGGCUAACUACGUGCCAGCAGCCGCCGUAAGAC
rnacentral:rRNA from 1 species